rnacentral:misc_RNA from 1 species
AAGUUUUCUAAUCUUAGCUUCUUCAACACUAGGUUGUAGUAUAACUGAAAAAAAAAAGAAGUUUUAUUAAAAUGAAGUCAUCAUUUUUUCUUCAUCAACCAAUAGAAUCUUCAAAUGUAUCCAAUUUCAGGGAUUUUUUGAAACCUGAUGACGAAAAACGAAUUGAAAUAAUGAACUUGGUAAAAGAAGGUUUGCCAUUAGAAGAAGCCUUAAGUAAAGCCCAGGAAAUGGGAAUAGCUGUAAAUAACACAAGUUUUCAGCUCAAGUUUAAUGACGUAUAUAAUUUUGGGAUUUAUAAAUAUCAACGUAACAAUAAAUGUACCAAAUGUAUUUUACAACUUGAUUUCCAAGAAAACGUUUUAUAUUUAAUUAAACGUGGACUUAAGCAAAAAAGUUACCAAUUUGAUUCCAUAGAAUAUAUUGACACUGAAGAUAACUUAACGCGGAUUGUAAUUCAUUUUGAAAACGGUUUAUAUAUAGAUAUUGAACCCGGGUCAUUAGAAGAGAAGAGCCGAAUAUCCCGUCUGCUCUUGUUUAUUCUGAACCAAGAUCAACAAGAACCUCCUCGUUUAAACAGUCUUGUUGCAAAUCGUGAAAAAAUACUUUUAGAAGGUCUUCUCGAAAAAAGAGGUCGCAAAGCACCAUUUACGACAUGGACUAAACGGUUUGUAAAAAUUUUACCUGGUGAAGUUAUGUAUUUUAAGGUAGGUAAUCAAGAAAACGAAAGUUCUGCUUUAAGUAUUAUUCCUUUAAAAUUAGGCGAUUCUGUUUUAAAAGUUAAUGAUGGUGAAUUCACUUUGCUAUUAAAUGAUAAAGAAUACUCAUUUCGCAUAAUACCUUCUAAAAACAGCAAUUCUACUGACCGUGACAAUUGGAUACAAGCUAUUGAAAAUGCAAUAAAAACGUCUUCAAUACAUAAAAAUGAAAGUUUUUCUAAUGCACACGAUCAAAGACAAAUAUUUUCAAACGCAUUUAAAUCAAUAAAAGCUCAGUUAAAGCAAUUUGAAAGCAUUCUCCAUUCAAUCGAGGCACCGUAUGAAGCAUGGGAACAGUUAAAGAAGAUUCAAAAAACAGUAUCAUUUCUAAGAGAAAAAAUUAAACAGAAAAAUUAUUUUGAUGAAAAAAUAAUAGUUAAUAACCAUAAUAACAAAGACAACAUUAAAAAAAAAGAAAUCGAUUCACCAUGCUCUACCUCCAAUUUGAAUUUUAAUCAGGCAGUAGAUCAAUCUUUGAAUUUACAAACAGGUCUGCUUUCAAAUAUACCUACUAUUCAAACGUUGAGCGUGUCGAAUGCUCAAACUUUAAACAUUCCUAUUGUUCCACAAUUCUCUAUCCCAACUCCACCUUUAUUGAGUGGUUUGUCUUCAAAAUUACCUGCAAAACCUACUGUGGUUCCAACAUGUAAAAUGAAACCACUAUUUUGGACUAAAACAAAUGAUACAGACGUUUUGAAAUCUUUUUGGAUGAAUUCUCAAGACAAAACACAUUUGUUAAAUCUAAAGAAAUUAGAAAACUUGUUUUAUCACGUUGGUCAAGAGAUUGCCAAAAAAGAGCCGAAAAAGGUAUCUGAGCUAGAUUGCAAAAACAGUCAAAACAUGACUUUGCUUGACCAACGAAAAGCUCAAAAUUUAGGUAUAUUUUUAAGCGGUUUUAAGAUUAAUGAAACAAAUAUCGAAGAAAAACUAAUGAUGUUUAAUACAAGUGAAGGGUUAACGAACGAAGAAAUAGUUGCAUUAAAAAAGUUUCAUCCAACUGCGGACGAAGUUGAAAUGUAUAAAAAUUAUCAGGGUGAUAACAAAAAGUUAACGGACAUUGAUAAGUUCAUGAUAAAGUUGUGCAAUAUUCCAAAUCUAGCAGUACAAUUGAAUCUAUUAUUGACAAUGCAUGAUUUACCGGAUGAAAUAAAAAAUAUCAAAAUGCUUUUAAAACAUCUUAUGAAUGCGUGUUUAUGUCUUCUUGAAAACAACAAUUUUACACGGUUGCUUGAAUAUAUUUUAGUACUUGGGAAUUACAUGAACGGCGGUACACCUCGAGGAGCGGCCUAUGGGUUUAAAUUAUCUGUUCUUACUAAACUCAUAGAUAUUAAAAGUUUUGAUAAAAAAUACACACUAAUAGAUUUUAUCGUUGAUGAACUAUGGGAAAUUGACAAAGAAGCCAUCUGUUGUUAUAAAGAUAUGCAACCUUUAACAAAUCCAAUAGAUUUCUCGUUAAAAAAUUUGCUUGUAGAGUUUCAAAUCAUGCAAAAAGAACUAUUAUUUUUUAAAGAGAAACAUAAAGGUAUAGAGACAAAUCUUGGAGAAAAAAUAUGCAAGAAUAUUAACGAAUUUUAUGAAACUUAUUCAAAAAAAAUUUUAAAGGUUGAACUCAUGUGCCAAAAAAUACAAGAUAUGUGUACUUUAUUAAAAAUAAAGUUCGGAGAACAGCCUUCAUUACCUAUUGAGACUUGGUUAAGUGAAAUCGGAGAUUUUGUUAAACAUUUACAAACAGCUGUAGAGGUUGCUGAAAGAAAGCACAGUAAAGAUUGUUCAUCUCUAGCAACAACAAUAUCUGACUCAAAUAAGGUGAAUAAAAUCUCUUACACCAAAAAUCAAAACAAUGAAAACACAGAAACCCGCGUUCAUACCAAAAUUGAACUUUCUAAAAGUCAUGCUUUGAAUCUUUCAAACACCCCAGAUAAAAUCAUAGAAAAUAUUUCACCAGUAAGAAAUAUUGUACCAAUCAGAGAGCUAUCAAGAAAUGCUGAUGAAAAUAAAAAUACUCAAUGUGUGAUUUCAGAGCUUAAAAAUGUACUACUUCAAAAUGAAAAUAAAUCUAAUAUUGAUCCCACAGUAAAACCACAAAGCUUGCAUCAAAACUCUGAUCCCACCGUAAAACCACAAAGCUUGCAUCAAAACACUGAAAAAUUUGAACAAUUAAAAGAGAAAUCUGGUUUUUUAGAAAAGCUUAGCGGCGGUAAGAAACGAAUUGCAAAAUGGGAUCAGAGAUAUUUUGAGUUGAAAGAAAACGGUUAUCUUCAAUACUUCAAAAAAAAAGGAGGAGCAAUUAAGGGUAGCGUCGAUCUAAAUGGCUGCCCAAUAUCUCUUGACCCUGAUAAUAACUGUAUAAUUAUUGUUUUACAGAACAACAGACAAUGGAAAUUUAAAGGUGACAAUAAUGUCAUUGUUGCAGAAUGGCUAAACGCGUUUUUAUAUCAUGCUUCAAAAGAUUAAGCUCCACUAGUUUGUAACUUGUAAUUGCUUGAAAUCUACUGUUCAAACGACAUUUGCAUAUAACGGUUUACCAUUAGAAGAAGCUUUACGCAGAGCUCAAGAAAUGGGAGUCGCUUUAAACAACCAGAACUUUUCUGCAAAGUCUAAUGAAGUAUAUAACUUUAGUAUCUAUAAAUACAAUAACAGCAACAAUAAAUGCUCUA